UUCAGGUAGCGGGACCAG
rnacentral:misc_RNA from 1 species